GACGAACCGAGCGAACGUUAUUCGGAAUCACUGGGCUUAAAGGGCGCGUAGGCGGGCUGCCAAGUCAAGGGUGAAAGCCCCCGGCUCAACCGGGGAAGUGCCUCUGAUACUGGCGGCCUCGAGGGAGGUAGGGGCGUGCGGAACUUCCGGUGGAGCGGUGAAAUGCGUAGAUAUCGGAAGGAACACCGGUGGCGAAAGCGGCGCGCUGGACCUCUUCUGACGCUGAGGCGCGAAAGCGUGGGGAGCAAACGGG
rnacentral:rRNA from 1 species